GAUAAUCCCACAGCUGGUUAGGCUCAGGUUAACGAGUUUCCCCUGAGGGCAGGCUUUAUUAAGAGCAGCCGCUUGCUCUGGCCUGUUGCAAAAUGGCUCCUCUUCCUCUCCCCUUGCUGGGGGCAUAAGGGCAUUUUUCUCCAACAUUUCCUGGGAGAGCCUGGUGAAGCCCUGGUGGGUAAGUCUUGCAAAUCUGUGGGGCUCCCGGGACUGGGAGCCCCUGAAAAUUUUUAACUCUCAGAGCCGUCUGCGCAGUCUCCAGCACGUGGUCUGUUACAGCACAGGUUUCCCCUGCCUGGCUCUGUUUUCCCAGCCACUUCAUCGCUGAAUCGUUGUGCUGUCAAACAGUUUUGGUGACCAAUGAAAAGGACCCUUUGCUGCGUGAACUCUAUAGGAACUGGAGCCUUGGUAAUAGCAGAAGCCACUUGCAUGCAUCUGCCUCCUUGAGAGUCCAGAUAAAUUUGGAUCCUACAUCUGGAUGGGUACAAAAUUAAGGAACUCUGAUGGAAAACCCGAUGUCUUCAUAAAAAUGUUAACAAAAAGGAUUAGUGACCUAAGACAAUGAAUUGAUGAAGAUCAGAUGCCCUGUGACCUGCAACCAGGGGAUUAUGCAUAUUGAAAAGUGUAGCUCUAAAGGAAGUCAUUCCUGUAAAAAUGUUAUGUGGCCAGCACUGUCAAACAAAUAGGAUUGAGUCACCAAGUGAUUUACUGACUGGAUUUGGAGGACUUCAUGGAAACCAGAGAAGAGCUGCAGGGAAGACCUCUGGAAGGGUGGCAUCCAGGAAGUUCUGGAAAUCUAGAAACCACACAGAAGUGCGAGAUCACAGGAUGCUCCUGGCCACUCUGGCAUCAUAUGGAGGUUCCCAGGGGGGCCUAAUCAGAGCUGCAGGC